AGUGAACGCUGGCGGUAGGCCUAACACAUGCAAGUCGAACGGCAGCACAGUAAGAGCUUGCUCUUACGGGUGGCGAGUGGCGGACGGGUGAGGAAUACAUCGGAAUCUACUUUUUCGUGGGGGAUAACGUAGGGAAACUUACGCUAAUACCGCAUACGACCUACGGGUGAAAGCAGGGGAUCUUCGGACCUUGCGCGAUUGAAUGAGCCGAUGUCGGAUUAGCUAGUUGGCGGGGUAAAGGCCCACCAAGGCGACGAUCCGUAGCUGGUCUGAGAGGAGGAUCAGCCACACUGGAACUGAGACACGGUCCAGACUCCUACGGGAGGCAGCAGUGGGGAAUAUUGGACAAUGGGCGCAAGCCUGAUCCAGCCAUACCACGUGGGUGAAGAAGGCCUUCGGGUUGUAAAGCCCUUUUGUUGGGAAAGAAAAGCAGCAGGUUAAUACCCCGCUGUUCUGACGGUACCCAAAGAAUAAGCACCGGCUAACUUCGUG
rnacentral:rRNA from 1 species